AUUGAACGCUGGCGGCAUGCUUUACACAUGCAAGUCGAACGGUAACAGGCCUUCGGGUGCUGACGAGUGGCGAACGGGUGAGUAAUGCAUCGGAACGUGCCCAAUCGUGGGGGAUAACGUAGCGAAAGUUACGCUAAUACCGCAUAAGCCCUGAGGGGGAAAGCAGGGGAUCGCAAGACCUUGCGCGAAUGGAGCGGCCGAUGUCAGAUUAGCUAGUUGGUGGGGUAAAGGCCUACCAAGGCGACGAUCUGUAGCGGGUCUGAGAGGAUGAUCCGCCACACUGGGACUGAGACGCGGCCCAGACUCCUACGGGAGGCAGCAGUGGGGAAUUUUGGACAAUGGGCGCAAGCCUGAUCCAGCCAUGCCGCGUGCGGGACGAAGGCCUCGGUU
rnacentral:rRNA from 1 species